rnacentral:rRNA from 1 species
ACGCUGGCGGCGUGCCUAACACAUGCAAGUCGAACGAGAAAGUGGAGCAAUCCAUGAGUAAAGUGGCGCACGGGUGAGUAACACGUGACUAACCUACCCUGGAGUGGGGGAUAACUGAGGGAAACCUUAGCUAAUACCGCAUAACACCUACGGGUCAAAGGAGCAAUUCGCUUUGGGAGGGGGUCGCGGCCGAUUAGUUAGUUGGCGGGGUAAUGGCCCACCAAGACUGUGAUCGGUAUCCGGCCUGAGAGGGCGCACGGACACACUGGAACUGAAACACGGUCCAGACUCCUACGGGAGGCAGCAGUGGGGAAUUUUGCGCAAUGGGGGAAACCCUGACGCAGCAACGCCGCGUGGAGGAUGAAGUCCUUCGGGACGUAAACUCCUUUCGAUCGGGACGAUAAUGACGGUACCGGAAGAAGAAGCCCCGGCUAACUUCGUGCCAGCAGCCGCGGUAAUACGAGGGGGGCGAGCGUUGUUCGGAAUUAUUGGGCGUAAAGGGUGCGUAGGCGGUUUGGUAAGUCUUGUGUGAAAUCUCCGGGCUCAACUCGGAGCCUGCACGAGAAACUGCCGGGCUUGAGUGUGGGAGAGGUGAGUGGAAUUUCCGGUGUAGCGGUGAAAUGCGUAGAUAUCGGAAGGAACACCUGUGGCGAAAGCGGCUCACUGGACCACAACUGACGCUGAUGCACGAAAGCUAGGGGAGCAA